UUCCGGUUGUGUCGCCAGACGCAUUGCCGGGUAGCUAAGUGCGGAAGAGAUAAGUGCUGAAAGCAUCUAAGCACGAAACUUGCCAAGAGAUGAGUUCUCCCACACAAUAAGUGUGUAAGGGUUGUUGGAGACUACGACGUAGAUAGGCUGGGUGUGUAAGUGUUGCGAGACAUUGAGCUAACCAGUACUAAUUGCCCGAGAGGCUUAACUAUACAACCUCAAGCGUUUUG
rnacentral:rRNA from 1 species